GGGGAACAGACAUGAGAGUGAAGCUUUCUUGGACUUGCCCGUCCAGCCUAGCCACCAGCUGAACGCAGGCCAGGAACGGACCCAGCCAACAUCAUGGAACAGCGCUACUCUAGCACGAUCUUUGGCUUUAUCUCUAAGAGGCCCAUGCAGUGAAAAAUUGAAUCAAUUUCUCAGAUAAUUCAAAUCAAAAGGGUUUUAGCUAUUAUUCACCAGGACCAAGCUACCCUAAAAUACAAACAGUGUUUUAUGAGAAAAAAGAAGCCUGCUUUCAUCAUUCCAAAUGAAGCCUUUGGGCAUUUCAAGUAAUACAUGUUACAGCUUUGAAGAAUAAAGAUAUUGAAUGGCCAUGGCCAAAAGGAGAUCAACAGAACAAGAUGCCAAAAUCAUCAGCAAGACCUGCCAUUGGAUUCCUUUGAAUCUUUUCUGUGAGUGUUGGUAUUAAUCAUUGAACUACAGGAAUGCCAUAAUUAUCAUAUAUUUAUCUCACUUUGCUUCACUGAGACUAUUUUACUAAUGAAUGAUUGA